GGGGGCGUACUGGUUUCGACUUGUAUGAUGCGCCAGAGGCGGCAUGCCGAGGAUGGUUCGUUGGCCUCGUUAAUCAUCGGACCAAAACAUAACUGCUAACGAUGAAUUAGCUCUCGCGGCCUAAUGCGCCGUGACGUUCGCCACUGGACGCCUGCUACGGUGGACGGACGCAACAGCAGGCUGGGCCGAGCGCGGAGUGGGCGCGCGUGAAGCCGAGAAAAAUUCAUGCCGGCUGGGACGCUGGAUUCGCGUCAGAACGUUAUCCGGCGGCUAAGACUCUCUUCUGACUAAGCAUGUAGUCGCGGCUGGUAAUUCGAACAAGGACGCGGGUUCAACUCCCGCCGCCUCCACCA
rnacentral:tmRNA from 1 species